UACGUAGGCAGCGAGCGUUGUUCGGAGUUACUGGGCGUAAAGGGUGUGUAGGCGGUUUGGUAAGUCUGGUGUGAAAUCUCCCGGCUCAACUGGGAGGGUGCGCCGGAAACUGCCGGACUAGAGUGCGGGAGAGGAGAGUGGAAUUCCUGGUGUAGCGGUGAAAUGCGUAGAUAUCAGGAGGAACACCGGUGGUGUAGACGGCUCUCUGGACCGUAACUGACGCUGAGACACGAAAGCGUGGUAGCAAACAGG
rnacentral:rRNA from 1 species